UACGGAGGGAGCUAGCGUUGUUCGGAAUUACUGGGCGUAAAGCGCGCGUAGGCGGCUUUGUAAGUUAGAGGUGAAAGCCCGGGGCUCAACCCCGGAAUUGCCUUUAAGACUGCAUCGCUAGAAUCCAGGAGAGGUGAGUGGAAUUCCGAGUGUAGAGGUGAAAUUCGUAGAUAUUCGGAAGAACACCAGUGGCGAAGGCGGCUCACUGGACUGGUAUUGACGCUGAGGUGCGAAAAGCGUGGGGAGCAAACAGG
rnacentral:rRNA from 1 species